GCGCCCGUAGCUCAAUGGAUAGAGCACUUGAUUACGGAUCAAGCGGUUGGGAGUUCGACUCUCUCCGGGCGCACCA
rnacentral:tRNA from 1 species